UACGGAGGGUCCAAGCGUUAUCCGGAAUCAUUGGGUUUAAAGGGUCCGUAGGCGGUUUUGUAAGUCAGUGGUGAAAGCCCAUCGCUCAACGGUGGAACGGCCAUUGAUACUGCAAGACUUGAAUUAUUAGGAAGUAACUAGAAUAUGUAGUGUAGCGGUGAAAUGCUUAGAGAUUACAUGGAAUACCAAUUGCGAAGGCAGGUUACUACUAAUGGAUUGACGCUGAUGGACGAAUGCGUGGGGAGCGAACAGG
rnacentral:rRNA from 1 species